rnacentral:rRNA from 1 species
UAAAGCGAAAGAAGGGCAUUCGGUGGAUGCCUUGGCUCUGAGAGGCGACGAAGGACGUGAUAAGCUGCGAAAAGCUGCGGGGAUCGGCAAAUACGACUUGAUCCGCAGAUAUCCGAAUGGGGCAACCCGGCAAGCUUGCUUGCCACCAUCCAAUGAUGGAGCGAACGUGGGGAACUGAAACAUCUUAGUACCCAUAGGAAGAGAGAACAAUUUAGUGAUUCCCCCAGUAGAGGCGAUCGAACGGGGACGAGCCCAAACCGGCAGUGUCGCAAGGCAUCGCCGGGGUUGUAGGGCUCUCGACAUCGCAAGAGUGACGCGAGGAGAAGUGACGUGGAAACGUCCACCAUAGACGGUGAUAGUCCGGUAACCGAAGCGAAGUGAAGCGUAGAGAGUACCUGAGUAGUGCGGGACACGUGCAAUCCUGUAUGAACCCGGGAGGUCCAUCUCCCAAGGCUAAAUACUUCUCAGAGACCGAUAGUGAACAAGUACCGUGAGGGAAAGGUGAAAAGAACCGCUCAUAGCGGAUUGAAAUAGUACCUGAAACCGGAUGCCUACAAGCGGUCGGAGCCCUUAGGGGUGACGGCGUGCCUUUUGCAUAAUGAACCUACGAGUUACCAUGCACAGCAAGGCUAAGCGAUCCAGUCGUGGAGCCGUAGCGAAAGCGAGUUUUAAAUGGCGUACAGUUGUGUAGGGUAGACGCGAAACCAAGUGAUCUAUCCGUGUCCAGACUGAAGUGAGGGUAAAACCUCAUGGAGGGUCCAACGGAGAAAUGGUGAAAAAUUUCCCGAUGAGGUACGGAUAGGAGUGAAAGGCCAAUCAAACUUGGAGAUAGCUCGUACUCCCCGAAAUGCAUUUAGGUGCAGCCUUUAUGGUUAAGUACACGAGGUAGAGCGACUGAUUGGAUGCGAGAGCUUCACCGCUUAUCAAAUCCGGACAAACUCCGAAUGCGUGUAUGAAUUCAUGAAGAGUGAGGGUGCGGGAGCUAAGUUCCGUAUCCGAGAGGCAAAGAAGCCGGACCAUCAGCUAAGGCCCCCAAAUGAUGUCUAAGUUGAAUGAACGAAGUCGCAAUGCAGAGACAGCUAGGAUGUUGGCUUGGAAGCAGCCAUUCAUUUAAAGAGUGCGUAACAGCUCACUAGUCGAGGAUUGUGGCGUGGAUAAUAAUCGGGCAUAAGACAUCUGCCGAAGCUAUGGGAUCGAAAGAUCGGUAGGGGAGCAUUCCAGCGAGGUCGAAGGUGUGAGGUGACUCAUGCUGGACUCUCUGGAAGAGCAAAUGUAGGUAUAAGUAACGAUAAAGGAAGUGAGAAUCUUCCUCGCCGAAAGACUAAGGUUUCCUCUUCAACGUUCGUCGGAAGAGGGUUAGUCGGGACCUAAGGAGUAGCCGUAGUUGGCGAAUCCGAACGGAAGAAUGGGUUAAUAUUCCCAUACUGAUUACGCGUAGUGGAUGCAAGGACGAAGGAGUGAAAGCCUCGCCUGCUGACGGAAUAGCAGGUUAAAGGGGGUAGGCGCAGAUGGGGUAGUAAAGAACGUCCCAGAGCCGAACCUGAUAGUACCGGGAAUCUACGGAGGAACGGAUAGAGGUGUAAGCAGACUUCCAAGAAAAGUUGCUACAUGAUUGAUGUGUAAUCACUCGUACCACAAACCGACACAGGUAGUUGGGUUGAGUAUACUAAGGCGCGCGAGAUAGGCGUGGUUAAGGAACUAGGCAAAAUAGAUCUGUAACUUCGGGAAAAAGAUCGCCCUCCUCCGGGAGGGUCGCAGAGAAUAGGCUCAAGCGACUGUUUACCAAAAACACAGGGCUGUGCGAAAUAGAAAUAUGCAGUAUACAGCCUGACACCUGCCCGGUGCCGGAAGGUUAAGAGGAGAGGUCAUCCGUAAGGAGAAGCCUUGAAUUGAAGCCCCGGUAAACGGCGGCCGUAACUAUAACGGUCCUAAGGUAGCGAAAUUCCUUGUCGGGU